AUGGGGAAAAUGAAAGGAAGGAUCCAGGCAAGCCGAGCCUUCAGUUAUCAUGGGGUCCAAGUUGGAGCCUAUGAAGAAGGAGAAGCAUGGGCCCGGCCAAAAGGCCCGAAAACAGAAGGGUGCAGAGACCGAACUGGUCAGAAACGUUGUUGCCUAUUGAAAGCUGCUCUGAAGCAGAAGGCCCGGGACACCACAGCUGGGGCCCAGUGGAGUGAAGAGGACACAGAUGGAGAUGAUGAUGACGAUGGUGAUGUUGUUCCCCCUGAAUCCCACCCCAGAAAAGAUAACAAAGCAGGGGGGGAUUUGCAGAUUAAUGUGGACGAUGAGAAAGCCUUUGUGCUGCCCCCUGCUGGGGAGACAGACCAGGAUGCCCAGACUCCAGUCCACAAGCGGAUCCAGGAUAUAGUAGGAGUGCUGAGGGAUUUUGGGGCUCAGCGAGAAGAAGGCCUGUCUGGAAAUGAAUAUCUGAAUCGGCUUCAGAAGGAUCUGGCCACUUACUAUUCUUAUGGAGACUUGCUGUUGAGCAAGCUCAUGGAGCUGUUCCUACUGUCUGAGUUGAUAGAGUUCUUAUAAGCUAACAAGAUGCCCCGGCCAAUCACCCUUCAGACCAACAACUUGAAAACCCAUCAGAGACCUUGCUUAGGCUCUGACCAAUCGUGGGGUUAAUCUGGAUCCGUUGGGAAAGUGGUCAAAGUCUGGACUUGUGGUAUAUGAAUCUUCAGUGCCUAUUGGCGCUAUUCCCGAGUACCUAGGUGGGCACUAUAUGCUGCAGGGAGCUUCAAGUAUGCUUCCUGUCAUGGAUCUGGCACCUCAGGAGCACGAGCAGAUCUUAGACAUGUGUUGUGCUCCUGGAGGGAAGACCAGCUACAUAGCUCAGCUAAUGAAGAAUACGGGUGUGAUCCUUGCAAUUAUGCCACGCUCAAGAGUGUGGUGGGCAACCUUUACCGGGAGUCACCAAUACCAUCAUCAGCCACUAUGAUGGGCGCCAGUUCCCUAAGUGGUGGGAGGCUUUGAUCGAGUGCUACUGGAUGCUCCUUGUAGUGGCACAGGAAUCAUCUCCAAAGACCCUGCUGUAAAGAUGAACAAGGAUGAGAAGGACAUCCACCGCUGUGCCCACCUUCAGAAGGAACUGCUGGUCAGUGCUAUUGACUCAGUCAACGCUGCCUCCAAGGUGGGAGGCUACCUGGUCUACUGCACCUCUUCCAUUAUGGUGGGAGACAACGAGUGAGUAGUAGACUAUGCCUUAAAGAAGAGGAAUGUGCAGCUGGUGCCCACUGGCCUGGACUUCGGCCAGGAAGGUUUUACCCGCUUCUGAGAAAGGAGCUUUCACCCCACUCUGUGUUCCACCCGAGGCUUCUACCCUAACAAUAUGUACGGGUUCUUUAUCGUCAAGUUUAAGAAAUUUUCCAAUUCCAUUCCCCAGCCCCAUGCAGGGAACUCAGCAGCAGCUACCCCUGCAGAACCUGACCUGAAGGAUCAGGUUACCCCAAAGUCUGAGAAUAGUAGUCAGCCCACCAAGAAAGCCCGCGGGGCUACAAAGGCAAAGCAGCAGUCGGUGAGACAGCAACAUUCCAAGAAGCCCUUCCCGAAGGUGAAUGGCAUCUCCAAGGGGCCAGGCUUGUCCACUGAACCUUCUGUCCCAAAUGCCCAAGUGUCUGCCAGGCUCUCGGAAAGCAGUCAGUCUGAUGGGAAAGCCAACGUGAUCAGGAAGAGGUCUGGGAAGCUGAAGCAGUGGGGACCUAAGUUGAAGCCCCCAAGGAGGCUGCUGUCCCAAAGCAGAGCACCCCUUCCAAGGGCAAGGACUCAGGAACACCUGCUAUGCCAACUCCCUCAGAAAGCAGUGCCACCCCAACAGUCCCUUGGGAAAGCCAAAAAGAUACAGAUAGGAAAGCAGCAGUUAUCAGAGCAGCCUGCCAAGAGAGCUGCUCCUCUGAAAGAAGAUGCUGUCCCCAAGGGACCCUCAGCCCCUUCUUGUGUCUCCCCACAGUUCUACCAGGCCCUCACCAGCAAAAAAGAAGCAAUCUAUGACAAAGGGCAGGAGCCAGCCAGCCUCUGCUGUCCAAAAUGGAAACCCAUUGACAUUGUCUCUUAGAUCCUGCUGCAAGGAUGCCCCCCACCUAUGCAUACAUAUGAAAUUUAAUAUACAUAUUACCACCACCCCGCCCCAAAAUUAA